ensembl:lncRNA
CUCCGCUCUAUUCUCUACUUUCCUCCUCUUAUAAUGAGUAAGCUCUCCUUGCUCCUUCCUACCUUUAACCUUUUUUUGGAUCCUGUCUCUUUUUUAUACACAAACGUUUCUCCUGCAAUUAUUCAUUCCCUUUGCAUAUACCUCAUGAAUCUUUCCCUCUUUACAGGAUUGUUUUCAUUAGAAACAAACAGGAAUGUCUUUCAUCUUUACAUGCCUCUCUGGAGAGCAAAUCUCUCUCCAGUUACUCCCUCAUUUCUCUUGCCAAGGGAUAAAAAUAGUUUCGGUAACUCGAGGAGAGGUUAAACGCUUUAUUCACCUGAUGCAUAUCAGGGAGCCUCUGAAGACGAGCACACUGUGUGUUAUCUAUUCGUAACAGUUUCAUUGUGGAACAUCUUAUCUCUUACCUCUGAAGUAAUUUGUAACUAUUUCUUUCUGGGAAGUCUUCAACAUCUUUCUCCAAGCAUGAAUUAAAAUUAAUUGAUCAUUCUUCUGUCAUUCUACACCACUUGGCAUAUAUCCACAAUAUUAUUAUUGGAUUGGACAGCUUUAUAGUAGUCAUUGAGAAACUCCACUCAAAUUUUAGACAUGGGAAGGAUUUUUACAGAAUGAACACAUAAUCAAAGACGAAGAGAAUGAAAGAAGAUGUGAGUCACACGAUUUCAGAAGCUAGAAAAGCAGGAGGCCGAAAGGAUCUUGAGUCAACAGGCUUAACAACCUGAUCUCUAAGCCUGUAGGGUAAAACGGCAGGAAGCUACCAAUUAAAUACCACACAACAAUCAAACACACAAAAGUUGAUAGCACUUGUAACUUUGGAAGUGGCAAUAAAACUGGGACUAAAAAGAGAAAGAUUGAUCAAAAGAUUGCUUAAGACGAAAUUAAGAAGAAAUGUCCAGAUCUUCUUUCACACUGAGCAGCGAAGUCAUGCCAGCAGAAAUCUAAAGAUCUAGCUUCUGGAAACUGUGAAGAGAACCUCUGCUCCUGGGGACAUCAAACAGAGCUGAGGGAGGACACAAAUUCUGAAAACUGGGGAAUAGAUUGAAUGCUGAGACCCCUUGCCUUGCUCCUCAGUUAUUAAGGGCUGUAUUGUGUGACCCCAACUCCAAAUUCACGUGUUGAAAUCCGAAACCCCAGUACCUCAAAAUGUGACUUUAUUUGGAGAUAGGGCUUUUAAAGAGCUGAUUAAGUCAAAAUGAGGCCAUUAGGGUGGGACCUAAUCCAUUCUGAUCUUAUAAGAGAAGGAAAUUCGGUCACACAGAGAGAUACCAGGGAUGCACACACACAGGGGGAAGAUCAUGUGAGGACACAGUGACAAGGCCGUCAUCUGCAAGCUAAGGAGAGAAACCUCUGGAGAAACCAAACCCGCUGACACCUUGACUUGGACUUCUAGCUUCUAGAACUAUGAGUAAUACAUGUAUGCUGUUUCAGCCCCUCAGUCUGUGGUAGUUUGUUAUGGCAGCCCUAGCAAACUAGUAUACCAGUUCACUUCAAGAACACUUGCAACUUCCGGGCGAAUAAUUGACAGAACCUUCUAUGGAGGCAAUGUUUAUUGCUACAACCUCAAUUUCAAUUAAAAAAAAUCAGAGAAGGAGUGAUACAUUUGUCGUAACUUGGAUGAUAUGCUCCAAUUUUUUAAAAG